GGCUUAGAGUUUGAUCAUGGCUCAGGAUGAACGCUGGCGGCGUGCUUAACACAUGCAAGUCGAACGAGAAUCAACGGAUUGAGGAUUCGUCCAAAUGAAGUUGAGGAAAGUGGCGGACGGGUGAGUAACGCGUGAGGAACCUGCCUCGGAGUGGGGAAUAACAGUUGGAAACAGCUGCUAAUACCGCAUAAUGCAACGAAGUCGCAUGACUUUGUUGCCAAAGAUUUAUCGCUCUGAGAUGGCCUCGCGUCUGAUUAGCUAGUUGGCGGGGUAACGGCCCACCAAGGCGACGAUCAGUAGCCGGACUGAGAGGUUGGCCGGCCACAUUGGGACUGAGACACGGCCCAGACUCCUACGGGAGGCAGCAGUGGGGAAUAUUGGGCAAUGGGCGCAAGCCUGACCCAGCAACGCCGCGUGAAGGAAGAAGGCUUUCGGGUUGUAAACUUCUUUUGUCAGGGACGAACAAAUGACGGUACCUGACGAAUAAGCCACGGCUAACUACGUGCCAGCAGCCGCGGUAAUACGUAGGUGGCAAGCGUUAUCCGGAUUUAUUGGGUGUAAAGGGCGUGUAGGCGGGACUGCAAGUCAGAUGUGAAAACCACGGGCUCAACCUGUGGCCUGCAUUUGAAACUGUAGUUCUUGAGUGUCGGAGAGGCAAUCG
rnacentral:rRNA from 1 species